AUAGCAGCGGACACAAUAGUUCCUACCCGGACCUGCAAUGCAACGCACACUUAAACAUGGCGGCCAACAUAGAGCAAAUUUUCCAAGAUUUUAUAUUGAAUAAAAUCAGAGAAAUUGAAGACCAAAAUGAAGACAAAACGGCUGCAGAAGGAGAGGGUAAUGGCGUUGAAAUGGCUGGGGUAGAAAAAGCCACUUCAGAAGUGGACAAACAGGAAGACUUAAGGGACAGUGGUUCACAAAAGAAACAAAAGAAGCACAAAAAACACAAAAGUAAGAAGAAGAGGAGAAACCGAGAAAAGGAGGAGAAGAAGAGCAGUUCGGAGUCUGGGGCGGAAUUGGAGGGAGGAAUCAAACAUCAGCCAAGAAGCAGAACGCCAACGGAGGCCAAUAAGGAGCAAGGUGAGGAUAACGAGAGCAAGUCCAGAUGUCACAAGCGGCAUUCAAAAGGAAAAAGGAAGAAGAAGAAGAAGAGGAGGAGGAAAGGUGACGAGAACUCAUCCGAUUCCGACUCAGAGUUCGUGUCACAGCAGAGGGAUAGUAAUUGUGGUCAGAGCUUAUUACCAAGUCGACGAGAGGAGCUUCCUGAUAUCAUCCCAAAACAGGACAGCUCCAUUAAAGGAAGAGGAGAUGAAGAAAGACAUGGCAGGAGGAGUUUUCGUUCCCGUUCUCGGUCCCAUUCCUAUUCUCGGUCCCAUUCCUGCUCAGUAAGGAGGAACUCUCGGUCUAGAGACCACCACCGAAGAUCCAGGACUCGCUCCCUAUCCAGUACCCGGCGCCACAGGACUCGGUCCAGCUCUUCAGAGAAAAGGGGAGCUUUGGAUGAAUCCAGACAGUCCACCCAAUGUCCUUUAAAAGGCGUCCAGCCACCUGAGCUAGCCUCCAGCCCGGCCCGAGGUAACGUCAACGCACCGGAGCCGACAAAAUCGUGCACAGAGCUGCAGAGCCCUGACCAGAUGGAAAAGCCACCAGAGAACAAAGACUAUAAAGCAGAUGACUCAACACAAAAACUAGGUUCUGGCGCACCCCACUCCAUGAUGAGCCAGUCCACGUCUACUGAACCUGACCAGACCACUGAGCUCAGCGUGCUUCCGCUUAAAGCAUCAAAGUACCCGAGUUCAUCUGACGCUAAUGUUAAGUUGCCAGCAAAGAUGAAGAGGAAACCAUCCAAGUCCCCACAGAGGAAAAAAGAAGCAAAGUCAUCGAAGAGGCAGAAAAGAUCUAAGUCGCCAUGUAGGAGCCACAGGAGGGGAUCCAGAUCCAGGAGUCCUUCAAGGAAUAAGAGAUCACGCUCGAGGUCAGGGGGCCGGCGGUCGCGGAGGUCACGCUCAAGGUCUGUGUCAAGGGGUCGGAGGAGGGCUACAUACAGCCAGAGGGACCGCUGGAAACGAGAGCCAAGUCACUCCCCUGUUCUCAUCCUUCGCAAAAAUAGAUCCCCCACUCGGAAACUCUGCAGCUCGAGCAACAGCCCUCAACGCAUCAGUGACCUGGAUAAGAACCAGUUGUUAGAAAUUGCCAAGGCCAAUGCUGCUGCCAUGUGUGCCAAAGCAGGAAUGCCCAUCCCUGCCAGCCUGCGGUCCUCGGUGCUCCCCAUGUCUCUGCCCUGUAUGGCCAUGAAUGCUGCUAUGGCCAGUAUGACCGCUGCCACCAUGACAGCGGCGUUGUCUAACAUGGGCAUGUCGUCAUUGCUCCCGUUGCCCUCCAUUACCAACAAGCCCCCCCCUGUCUCAACGCAACCCAUCAAUGCUGCUUUGGAGGAAGUGAAGAGGAAAGUAGCGAAGCAGGCCAACAGCAUCAGCAUUAAGGAGUUUACUGAUAAAUGCAAGAUGAUUGUGGACAGUAAAGGAGAGCUGCCGGUGGCAAUGCCUCAUGUUUCCGACGAAGAGGAUGAUGGGAAGCCUUUUGGGGGAUCAGCUCUUCGAGAGCAAAAAGCCAUCAGCUUCAGCAUCAACAACACCACAGUACGCCCGGCAGUGCGUAGCGACGCAGGCAUGGCCAAGGAGUUUCCUGUGUCUUCGGGAUCCCAGCAUCGUAAGAAGGAGGGCGAGGCACUGGGGGCCUACGGAGAAUGGGUUCCGGUCGACAAAACGUCAGACAAAGCCGCAGCUGCCUCCAGAAAAGCCACUACCACUGUUCCCAUAGCGACAGCUACCUCGUCAUCAGGUGAAACGAAGACAGCACCAGGGUCAACGGAGGAUGUCGAACAGCCCGUUUGUGCGCCGGAUAAUGACAGCGUUUUUCCUGAACCCCCACUGCAGCCCGUAGAUAUUUCUCAGGCUGUAACUGAGAGAAUAAAAGCUCAGAGGCGAUUGGCUGAGAACCCCUAUGAUGUCAAUGCCAUCUGCAUGCUUAGCCGGGCACAAGAGCAGGUGGAUGCUUGGGCCCAGUCCAGUACUGUUCCUGGCCUUUUCACUGGUUCGACUGGAGCCCAGGUCCUCAGCUCGGAGGAGCUUUCCACCAGCGGACCACAAGCAUGGCUGAAGAAGGACCAGUUCCUCAGGGCAGCUCCAGUAUCGGGGGGUGUCGGGGAGUUCCUGAUGAGAAAGAUGGGCUGGAAGACAGGAGAGGGCCUAGGGAGGAACCGGGAGGGCACCGUGGAGCCAAUAAUAAUUGACUUCAAGGUUGAUCGCAAAGGACUAGUUGCUGAAGGAGAGAAGCCACAGAAGCAGACAGGAGGACUGGUGGUAACCAAGGAUCUCAUGGGUCUUGGAAGAAAUGUAAGGACUAAAUUAAUCUACAAUCCACUGAGAAUAAGACAGGAAGCAGCCACAAAACAGAUGAGACAAACUACGAAAUCAUGCAGGCACCACGCCAACAACAAGGGAAGCACCCGGUGUCUGCACUCAUUGAGCUGUGUAACAAGAAGCGGAUAAUGCAGCCAGACUUUGUCAUGGUGCAUCACAGUGGUCCUGACCACCGAAAGAAUUUCCUCUUCAAGGUCACAGUGAAUGGCGUGGACUACCAACCCCAGACAGCUAGUCCCAAUAAGAAACAUGCCAAGGCCAUGGCAGCUACAGUAGCACUGCAGGCUCUGGGAGAGGUUCCUGCUGAUGGACCAGGACUCUACACUGGCCCCGUCUUCACUGCUGCGUCUACUGGCCCCCUGUUUUCUACGUAGACUCCACACAAUAGAGGGACUGGCACAUUCUACGUAGUCCAUUCUCUCUUCAGUUGUGGGACAGAAAGGGAUUUUUUGAGUCCUGCUUAAUCACCGGUCCCUCAUUUCCACUCUGGUCACUUAUUGAAAUAGUACAUCAAGAACUCAACAAAAAGUUAAGGCACCGGACAGUGAGUUUGGCUUCAGAUGACGCUGAGUAUCUUGCCACGGAUUCACCUGUGACUGAAUUCAUACCCGUCAACGUCACAUUUUCUUUUAAACUACGUUCCUGACAGAGUGGCAGAUAUUUUUUUGCCGGGUUUUUAGGACUGCGAAAGAGUCUCCACCAUAUCAAAAGUGGAUGGCAUGUAUGUAUGUAUAUAUGUAUGUAUGUAUGAUAUAGUAGCAUAUCAGCCUGAUGUGUAUCAGCUGACCAAGUAUAACCCUAGAACAGACACCAGUUUCACAGCAAUGGAUUGAGAAAAUUAAUAUCUCUAAAUUGGUGAACUUUUCGGUUGAAAUUACAUUUGUGGCCUGGCCUCUUUCUAAAAAAAAGAAAAAAAAAAAAAAAAAAAAAAGUUUCUUCUACUAGAGGCUGUUAAAUUUGAUGGAUCUAACCCUUCAAAAAUGUGUAAACGGAAUAAAGAUUAUAUUUAUGUUAUGUAGUAGAGGAAGCCAAAAUGUGUUUUUGGCUAA